rnacentral:rRNA from 1 species
GACGAACGCUGGCGGCGUGCUUAACACAUGCAAGUCGAACGAAGUGGCGAACGGGUGAGUAACGCGUAAUCAACCUGCCCUUCAGAGGGGGACAACAGUGGGAAACGACUGCUAAUACCGCAUAGUGAAGGAGGGGAUUGCGGCUGAUUAGCUAGUUGGAGGGGUAACGGCCCACCAAGGCGAUGAUAAGUAGCCGGUCCUGGAGGAUGGACGGCCACCUUUGGACCGGGACACGGCCCAGACUCCUACGGGAGGCAGCAGUGGGGAAUCUUCCGCCAUGGACGAAAGUCUGACGGAGCAACGCCGCGUUGUUGAUGACGGCCUUCGGGUUGUAAAGCUCUGUUAAUCGGGACGCGUUACCGGAAUAGAAAGCCACGGCUAACUCCGUGCCAGCAGCCGCGGUAAUAC